rnacentral:lncRNA from 1 species
GUUGCUUAGUGUUCUAAGUGUGUCUUCUGUGCUAUUAUUUGCCUGUUAAUCUUUUUAGUUUUAGCCAUGGCGUUGUCAGUUUAUUUUCGAUUUACGAGUUUAACUGUCCCUUUGGUAUCUUUCGUCCCUCUUCUCAAACUUCAUAGCUCUAAUUGUUGAGAAAUUUAGUGUUCAGGGUUAAUAAAAUAGUACAGGUUUAAUUUAGC